AUGCAUCGAGGAAACGGACGGAGAAACAGGACUGAAGCCCCUCGGUGCGGCCAAGGCCCUACACCAAAAGGCUACAAUCCGCAGGAGCUACUCGCACGUUCCCACGAUGAGAUCUACCGUCUCACCGACCGGAUCACAGACCUUGAGUCCGUUAAGAAGGAUUCUGACAUUGAGAGGAACAAACUUUACCUCGUCAUCAAAGAUCGGAAAUUGACAACCGCCCAUCUGGAGAAGAGUCUGAAGACCGCCAACGAGAGGAUCAAGACCCUGGAGAGUCAGCAGAUGUCCACGGCUGAAAUCAACAACAGCCGAGAGAAAAAGCCCGAAAACAUCGACCUCCUGGAGCGUCUGAGACUAUUGGAGGAGAAGAUGGCUGAAGCCCAGCUCAUCAGUCACCAGGAGAAGGAGCGAAUGGUUCAAGAGCAUGAGGACAAAUUUGCCAACCAAUCUAUCAAGCACCUUAAUCUCCUCAAGGAGAACGAGGAUUUGUCUCUGAGGCUCGCCGAUUCCAAAGACGUCCUCGUCACCAACGAGAUCUGGCAAAGAAAGUACGAGGAUCUGGAGAAAAAGACCACCCAAGAAAUCGCCCUAAAACAAGAGGCACUGGAAGCCCUUCAGGUAAAAAACCAGGAGAUGGCCACCGAGGUUGAGAAUCUGAUGGUCCAGAGAGUCUGCCGAAAAGAGUACGAGGAUCUGGAGGAAAAGACCACCCAAGACAUCGCCCUAAAACAAGAGGCACUGGAAGCCCUUCAGGAAAAGUACCAGGACAUGGCCACAGAGGUUGAGAAUCUGAUGGUCCAGAGAGUCUGCCGAAAAAAGUACGAGGAUCUGGAGAAAAAGACCACCCAAGACAUUGCCCUAAAACAAGAGGCACUGGAAGCCCUUCAGGUAAAAAACCGGGAGCUGGCCACUGAGGUUGAGAAUCUGAUCCUCCAGACAGUCUGCCGAAAAAAGUACGAGGAUCUGGAGGAAAAGACCACCCAAGACAUCGCCCUAAAACAAGAGGCACUGGAAGCCCUUCAGGUAAAGUACCAGGAGAUGGCCACCGAGGUUGAGAAUCUGAUGCUCCAGAAGUUCAGUGAGACCCUGAAGGUCAACAAAGAGAAGGAAAGCCUCUCACAAAAGCUGAGCGAGACUCAACAACAGCUCAUCAGCGAGGAAGAGAAAUUCAAAGAUCUGGAAAGAAGGAUCUGCAAAGAACUGAACCUCAAACAAGAGAUGUUGGAGACCAGAGUAACAGCACUGUACUCCGACAACCUUGCUCUAGAGGAGAAGUUCAACGAGCAGCAGGCCAACAACCACCAGCUGGCGGCAGAAUACAAACUGCUAAAGGACCGGAGUGAUAGUAUGGCUGAAAAACAAGAGGAGAACACAUCCCUCAAAGUCAUCACACUCCAACAGAUGGAGGAGUUGGCCAAAGAAAAUCAGAUUGUGAUCACCAAGGUGAAACAGUUGCAGGACGAAAACACACUCCUUGAAAACAUCUGUCUGGACUUGAAGAAGAAGAAGAGAGGCAUCUUUGGAAGAAGGAUGCAAGACAGACAGACGGAGAUGGACAAGAUGAAGCGCAAAAUGCAGGACCAGGAGACUAAGAGGUCCGAAAAAGAAGAGAAGAGCCAUAAGGGGAAGAAGACCCUCCAGGACUGA
ensembl:lncRNA